rnacentral:rRNA from 1 species
UACGAAGGGGGCUAGCGUUGUUCGGAAUUACUGGGCGUAAAGCGCGUGUAGGCGGGUCUUUAAGUCAGGGGUGAAAUGCCAAGGCUCAACCUUGGAACUGCCUUUGAUACUGGAGACCUUGAGUCCGGGAGAGGUGAGUGGAAUUGCGAGUGUAGAGGUGAAAUUCGUAGAUAUUCGCAAGAACACCAGUGGCGAAGGCGGCUCACUGGCCCGAUACUGACGCUGAGGCACGAAAGCGUGGGGAGCAAACGGG